CGAUCGUCUAUUGACUGAGUCACGGAGCGUCUGUGAAUGGAGAAUGGAUCUCUGGUGCAAAGACGGGAAAGCAACCAGAGAGGCAAAAGUCCACAGAGGCAGCCAAAACCACAUAUCUACAAUAGAAAACGAAUAAACAAAACCAGCAAUAGAGUACCAGAGAUUCUACUCAAGUGACCUCUCAAAUGAAAGCUGACGACAUCUCUUGGAACAAAAAUAGGCUAUGUUGAAUUAAAGAAUAGACCAGUAAGGAUUUGAUUUGUUAGACAUGAAGAUGUUCCGAAAUCAAAGCAAAACAGAAAAAAAGGAUUUUUAGGUGUGCAUUUCAGUUUGGCAGUUCCUCAGGUGACAAGCAGUAAGUGUUUAAUAAGUUAAUCACCAUUGUGUCCAGUAUAAUUGGUUACAAGGAUCAAAUUUGUCUAGAUUACAGAAUGUCUAGAUCAGCCUAAAACUCAGAUUAUCUAUGACAUUCAAUUAAAAUCAAUUCAGUCUAAUUUACAAGUAGCCUACUUUACCUGAAGUCAAACUGUAUCAGUGUGUUUAGAGUUAGCAUGCAGGGGUUAAUACUGUAAACUGUAUCAGUGUGUUUAGAGUUAGCAUCCAGGGGUUAAUACUGUAAACUGUUGUACAAAUGAUCUGCUGCCCAUAUUCCGUAUGAUUUUUUCAGUUCAUUGAGUAGUCAGUAUACAAAACAGUCCUUCUAGAAAUUUAAAUCUGCAUUGUUUUUUUUCCAGAACUUGAACGAAAUUGAUAGUUGUCCCCGUCCUCCU